GAUGAAGAACGUAGCGAAAUGCGAUAAGUAAUGUGAAUUGCAGAAUUCAGUGAAUCAUCGAAUCUUUGAACGCACAUUGCGCCCGCCAGUAUUCUGGCGGGCAUGCCUGUUCGAGCGUCAUUUCAACCAUCAAGCCCCCGGCUUGUGUUGGGGACCUGCGGCUGCCGCAGGCCCUGAAAAGCAGUGGCGGGCUCGCUGUCACACCGAGCGUAGUAGCAUACAUCUCGCUCUGGGCGUGCUGCGGGUUCCGGCCGUUAAACCACCUUCAUAACCCAAGGUUGACCUCGGAUCAGGUAGGAAGACCCGCUGAACUUAAGCAUAUCAGUAAGCGGAGGA
rnacentral:misc_RNA from 1 species